rnacentral:rRNA from 1 species
UACAGAGGGUGCAAGCGUUGUUCGGAAUUAUUGGCGUAAAGCGCGUGUAGGCGGCUUUGCAAGUCGGGUGUGAAAGCCCUCGGCUCAACCGAGGAAGUGCGCCCGAAACUGCAGAGCUUGAGUGCCGGAGAGGGUGGCGGGAAUUCCCCAAGUAGAGGUGAAAUUCGUAAGAUAUGGGGAGGAACACCGGUGGCGAAGGCGGCCACCCUGGACGGUAACUGGACGCUGAGACGCGAAAGCGUGGGGAGCAA